UACGUAGGGGGCAAGCGUUGUCCGGAAUCAUUGGGCGUAAAGCGCGUGUAGGCGGUCCGGUAAGUCCGCUGUGAAAGUCGAGGGCUCAACCCUCGAAUGCCGGUGGAUACUGUCGGGCUUGAGUACGGGAGAGGCGAGUGGAAUUCCUGGUGUAACGGUGAAAUGCGCAGAUAUCAGGAGGAACACCGAUUGCGAAGGCAGCUCGCUGGAACGUUACUGACGCUGAGACGCGAAAGCGUGGGGAGCAAACAGG
rnacentral:rRNA from 1 species